rnacentral:rRNA from 1 species
AUUGAACGCUGGCGGCAUGCCUAACACAUGCAAGUCGAACGGGGCAGCAAUGCCUAGUGGCGGACGGGUGAGGAAUACGUAGGAAUCUGCCCUUAAGUGGGGGAUAACCAGGGGAAACCCUGACUAAUACCGCAUGAUCUCUUCGGAGCAAAGAGGGGGACCGCAAGGCCUCUCGCUUCUGGAUGAGCCUACGUCUGAUUAGCUAGUUGGUAGGGUAAAGGCCUACCAAGGCGACGAUCAGUAACUGGUCUGAGAGGAUGAUCAGUCACACCGGAACUGAGACGCGGUCCGGACUCCUACGGGAGGCAGCAGUGGGGAAUAUUCGACAAUGGGCGCAAGCCUGAUCCAGCAAUGCCGCGUGUGUGAAGAAGGCCUUCGGGUUGUAAAGCACUUUAGCCUAGAAAGAAAAAACUUUGGUUAACACCCAAAGUCUUGACGGUAUCAGGAGAAUAAGCACCGGCUAACUCUGUGCCAGCAGCCGCAGUAAGAC